CUCAUCCCUGUUGCAAAAGAGUGAGAAGAUUUUAAAGUAGAGGUGACACACCUACCGAGCCUAGAAAUAGCUGGUUAUUCAAAAGACGGAUUUAAGUCCGACUUUAAGUUUUACUAGUCUUACUAAACAAUUACUAAACUUAAAAGCCAUUUAAAUAAGGUACAGCCUAUUUAAACAAGGAUACAACCUAUAAUAUCGGGUAAUGUUUAUUAACAUGACCAAGUAGGCCUAAAAGCAGCCACCUUCUAAAAAGCGUCCAAGCUUCUCCACUAAAUAUUUCUAAUACCACCAUUUAUCCGCAACCCCCAACCACUACUGAAUGACCCCAUAACUAAUAUGGAAGACACC
rnacentral:rRNA from 1 species